rnacentral:tRNA from 1 species
GCCGCGAUGAUCCUGAGUGGCCUUGGGUGCAGGCUUCAAACCUGUAGGGGCUUAGCGGCCCAGAGGUUCGAUUCCUCCUUCGAGGC